rnacentral:tRNA from 1 species
GCCCCCGUAGCUCAGCAGGAUAGAGCGUUCGCCUCCUAAGUGAAAGGUCAUGCGUUCGAAUCGCGUCGGGGGUGCCA